rnacentral:misc_RNA from 1 species
CAGGCUAAAUCGCCGGUCGCCGGCGAUUUAGCCUGGGUAAGGUUCUUCGCGUUGCAUCGAAUUAAGCCACAUGCUCCACCGCUUGUGCGGGCCCCCGUCAAUUCCUUUGAGUUUCAUCCUUGCGGACGUACUCCCCAGGUGGUGUGCUUACUGCGUUAGCUGCGACACCGACCCCGAAGGGCCAACAUCUAGCACACAUCGUUUACAGCGUGGACUAC